rnacentral:rRNA from 1 species
CCUACGGGAGGCUGCAGUAGGGAAUCUUCCACAAUGGACGAAAGUCUGAUGGAGCAACGCCGCGUGAGUGAAGAAGGGUUUCGGCUCGUAAAGCUCUGUUGGUAGUGACGAAAGAUAGAGGUAGUAACUGGCCUUUAUUUGACGGUAAUUACUUAGAAAGUCACGGCUAACUACGUCCCAGCGGCCGCGGUAAUACUUAGGUGGCAAGCGUUGUCCGGAUUUAUUGGUCGUAAAGCGAGUGCAGGCGGUUCAAUAAAUCUGAUGUGAAAGCCUUCGGCUCAACCGGAGAAUUGCAUCAGAAACUGGUGAACUGGAGUGCAGAAGAGGAGAGUGGAAGGCCAUGUGUAGCGGUGGAAUGCGUAGAUAUAUGGAAGAACACCAGUGGCGAAGGCGGCUCUCUGGUCUGCAACUGACGCUGAGGCUCGAAAGCAUGGGUAGCGAACAGGAUUAGAUACCCGAGUAGUC